GGGGGGAUAGCUCAGGGAUGGAGCAUGAGCUUAGCAUGCACGGGGUCCUGGGUUCGAUCCUCAGUCCUUCCA
rnacentral:tRNA from 1 species